UUCCGGUUGAUCCUGCCAGAGGCUACUGCUAUCGGGGUCCGACUAAGCCAUGCGAGUUGAGAGGGGUAAGCCCUCGGCAUAUUGCUCAGUAACACGCGGAUAACCUGCCCUUGGGUUUGGGAUAACCCCGGGAAACUGGGACUAAUACCGGAUAGAUCAAAGAAACUGGAAUGUUCUCUGAUCGAAAGCUCCGGCGCCCAAGGAUGGGUCUGCGGCCUAUCAGGUAGUAGUGGGUGUAACGUACCUACUAGCCUACGACGGGUAAGGGUUGUGAGAGCAAGAGCCCUGAGAUGGAUUCUGAGACAUGAAUCCAGGCCCUACGGGGUGCAGCAGGCGCGAAAACUUUACACUGCGGGAAACCGCGAUAAGGGGACCCCGAGUGCCAGCACCUAGUGCUGGCUGUCCAGCUGUUCAAAUAACAGUUGUUAGCAAGGGCCGGGCAAGACCGGUGCCAGCCGCCGCGGUAACACCGGCGGCCCGAGUGGUAGCCGUUAUUAUUGGGUUUAAAGGGUCCGUAACCGGCCUAUUAAGUCUCUUGGGAAAUCUGGCGACUCAAUCGUCAGGCGUUCAAGAGAUACUGGUAGGCUUGGGACCGGGAGAGGUGGGAGGUACUCCAGGGGUAGGGGUGAAAUCUCGUAAUCCUUGGGGGACCACCGAUGGCGAAGGCAUCCCACCAGAACGGGUCCGACGGUGAGGGACGAAAGCUGGGGGCACGAACCGGAUUAGAUACCCGGGUAGUCCCAGCCGUAAACGAUGCUCGCUAGGUGUCAGGUGCGGUGCGACCGCAUCUGGUGCCGCAGUGAAAACUUGAAGCGAGUCACCUGGGAAGUACAGUCGCAAGGCUGAAACUUAAAGGAAUUGGCGGGGGAGCACUACAACGGGUGGAGCCUGCGGUUCAAUUGGAUUCAACGCCGGA
rnacentral:rRNA from 1 species